UCCAACUUGGCAUCAAAGUUAUACUUAUCCU
rnacentral:piRNA from 1 species